rnacentral:rRNA from 1 species
GAUGAACGCUAGCGGCAGGCUUAAUACAUGCAAGUCGUGGGGCAGCGCAGGUAGCAAUACUGGGCGGCGACCGGCAAACGGGUGCGGAACACGUACACAACCUUCCGAGAAGUGGGGAAUAGCCCAGAGAAAUUUGGAUUAAUACCCCCGUAACAUAACGAUGUGGCAUCACAUUGUUAUUAUAGCUUCGGCGCUUCUUGAUGGGUGUGCGGCUGAUUAGAUAGUUGGCGGGGUAACGGCCCACCAAGUCUACGAUCAGUAGCUGAUGUGAGAGCAUGAUCAGCCACACGGGCACUGAGACACGGGCCCGACUCCUACGGGAGGCAGCAGUGGGGAAUAUUGGACAAUGGGCGCAAGCCUGAUCCAGCCAUGCCGCGUGAGUGACGAAGGCCUUAGGGUUGUAAAGGCUCUUUUGGCGGGGAAGAUAAUGACAGUACCUGGAGAAUAAGACUCCGGCUAACUCCGUGCCAGCAGCCGCGGUAA